UACGGAGGGUGCAAGCGUUAUCCGGAUUCACUGGGUUUAAAGGGUGCGUAGGUGGUCUUGUAAGUCAGUGGUGAAAUACCGCAGCUCAACUGCGGAACUGCCAUUGAUACUGCUUGACUUGAAUUAGGUUGAGGUGGAUGGAAUAUUACAUGUAGCGGUGAAAUGCUUAGAUAUGUAAUAGAACACCGAUUGCGAAGGCAGUUCACUAAACCUAUAUUGACACUGAGGCACGAAAGCGUGGGGAUCAAACAGG
rnacentral:rRNA from 1 species